GCCAGGCAUGGUGGUGCAGGCCUGUAGUCCCAGCUACUUGGGAGGCUGAGGUGGGAGGGUCGCUUGAGCCCAGGGAGGUCGAGGCUGCAGUGAGCCAUGGCCAUGCCACUGCAUUCUAGCCUGGGCAACAGAGAGACCCUGUCUCAA
rnacentral:SRP_RNA from 1 species